GAUGAACGCUGGCGGCGUGCCUAAUACAUGCAAGUCGAGCGAACGGACGAGAAGCUUGCUUUUCUGAUGUUAGCGGCGGACGGGUGAGUAACACGUGGGUAACCUACCUAUAAGACUGGGAUAACUUCGGGAAACCGGAGCUAAUACCGGAUAAUAUUUUGAACCGCAUGGUUCAAAAGUGAAAGACGGUCUUGCUGUCACUUAUAGAUGGAUCCGCGCUGCAUUAGCUAGUUGGUAAGGUAACGGCUUACCAAGGCAACGAUGCAUAGCCGACCUGAGAGGCUGAUCGGCCACACUGGAACUGAGCCACGGUCCAGACUCCUACGGGAGGCAGCAGUAGGGAAUCUUCCGCAAUGGGCGAAAGCCUGACGGAGCAACGCCGCGUGAGUGAUGAAGGUCUUCGGAUCGUAAAACUCUGUUAUUAGGGAAGAACAUAUGUGUAAGUAACUGUGCACAUCUUGACGGUACCUAAUCAGAAAGCCACGGCUAACUACGUG
rnacentral:rRNA from 1 species